rnacentral:sRNA from 21 species
GAGGCCAAACCUCAACGAGUUAACUCUACGUUCAACUCCAAGACAUAGAUUGGUUCAAUAUAGUACGAAUCGAUUUAACAACCUCUCUGGUGAUUGGAA